UGUAAGCCCCAGGACUGGCAAAAAAAAAAAAAAAAAAAAAAAGAAAACUAAAGUGGACUAGAGGUAUGGCUCAAGCUUCACUUGUUAGUUAGCAAAAAAACCUAGCAGAGCACGUAAGGUCCUGGGUUCAAUCCCAGGUACCAGAAGCAAAAUAAAUAAA